GUGCUCGCUUCGGCAGCACAUAUACUAAAAUUGGAACGAUACAGAGAUUAGCGUGGCCCCUGCCCAAGGAUGACAUGGAAAUUCGUGAGGCGUUCCAUAAAAAA